ACUAGAUUUAGUUGUUCAAAUAUUUUAUUUUUUUUAUUUACAGCCCAGAUCAAGGGGAAUCAUUUGCUACACUUAAAGCACAGUUAUCACAGUGGGAAGACCAGCUGGCCAAAAACAAAAAUCUUGUAUCCCAGGUCAUUCAUAAAGAGCCUACUAAAGAAAACGCCCCUGAAAAUGUGUUUCAAGAGAAGACUCAAACUAAAAGUUUGUUGAGUUUAGUAAAGGUUUCAAAAGCCACAGAACAAAGUAAAGGUCGAAGUGAAAGCUGCUGCUACUGCAGUUCCACCUCCCCCUCCUUUUGUACAGCUGAAAAAAGUUGGAUCAGAAUCAGUGAAAUUAAAGCCACAGCCAAAAUCAAAGUUUGAGAAAGAGUUAGAUCCUAGGGAGCAGUUAAUGUUUGCUAUUCGAAACUUUAAUAGUAAAGAAAGCUUAAAAACCGUUCCUGUCAAACAGACUCAUUGGGUUUAAGGACAGUCAUUGCUUGCCGGACUGAAAAAGUGUUCUUAAUUAUGAUUUUUUUUUCCAUAAGUGAACAAUAAAUUAUAAAUCGAUUAAUUAUGUCAAAAUGUAACUUUUUUUUUUCAAAUGUUUAUGCAGACAGUAAAUGUUGAUUGUAAAUUAUAUAUGCUCAUAAAGUUGGAAAUCAUUUAAAACAAGCCAUAUAUCCAUUGAUAUUAUCAAAAUAUUAUUAGACCUAUUAGAAAAUAAUGAGAUUUGCUGAGUAAUAACUCUUUCAAGUCCAUGCAUAUUUAAAAAUUGUGUCUUUUCAUAACUCAAUUAGCACAAUAAUUUUAUUGUUGGAAGUAUACUUUAAAAAUAUUCUGUAACCUAAAUUCAUUUGGCAUCACAUCAAAGAAGUAUUCAGAUAUAUAGGAAUUGAACCCCUUGGAUACAUAGUACUAUGUCAUGGGCUUAAUAUGACCCUUGAGCCAUAGCUUAGGCAUUCCUAAUGUAGAUUUUCUUGAAUAGAACCUUGUUGCUUUGAAAUGAAAACCUCACAUUUAUUAUUGUUAUUUUCCAUUUUUUUAAAUUACAUUAUUUGUUUUGGGCAAUAGACUGAGAUUAUAAAUCACAACUUACUUUUUAUGAUAUAUUUAUACAGUGUAUGUUAUACUAUACAGUGUUAUACACUUCAAAUUUAUUGGUGUACAUUUAUUUAUUCAGCCUAUAACCACUGGUAUUACACACCAGAUACAAAGAAAUAUUUAUAUAUUUAUAAAUUUGUAUUUUAUCCCAUUGUAUAAGUAUAACAUUGUAACAGUGAUUUAUAUUUUGUAAAAUAUAUUUCAUACUUAUUAUGUAUCAACUUUGUAUGUUAUUAACGCAUGCAUAUAUUAUUGAAUUUACUUGCCUACUUAAUAUUCAAAGACAAUUUUUUCCAAUAAUUAAUAAUAGUUAACACAUUCCUUCAAUUAGAACAUUUAUGUGCAUAAAACAAAUAUUUUGUUAUAUCUACUUCACUGUAUGUUUCAUACAUCUAAGAAUUUGUUGCUAAAAUGUCAGUGCUUAAAACUUUGUGUUUACAUAAUAGAAUGCCUUGAGCAUAUUUUAAUUAGUUUGCCAGUUUAGCACUUCAUAAUUAUUGAAAGAAACUCAUUAGAUCAGUUAUCUGGAUUUUGGGUUGCAGUGGCUGAGUGGUUAAGUUCUUUGCUUCUGAACCUGGGGUACUGGGUUUGAAUCUUGGUGAAAACUGAGAUUUUGAAUUUCAGGAUUUUUAGUGCACCCCUGAGUCCACCGAACUCUAAUGAAUACCAGAUUUAAUUUGGGGAAAGUAAAGACGUUUGUUUGUUGUGCUGGUAGCAUAACACCCUGCUCUUUAACCGUUAGCCAAUGAAAGCGGUGACCUUAACAUCAUUAGCCAUAUAGACUGAUAGGGGAACUUUACUUUUAAUCUGAAUUUAGAAUAGCAAUAAUUCUGAAUACAAAUAAAUAAUGAAUUAGAAACUGUAUGUGCAAUGAAUUUUCAAAGAAAAUUGAUUGCACAAAAAGUGAGUCAACAGGCAAAAAUAUCUUGUU
rnacentral:sRNA from 1 species